rnacentral:rRNA from 1 species
AUUGAACGCUGGCGGCAUGCUUUACACAUGCAAGUCGAACGGUAACAGGCCGCAAGGUGCUGACGAGUGGCGAACGGGUGAGUAAUGCAUCGGAACGUGCCCAGUCGUGGGGGAUAACGCAGCGAAAGCUGCGCUAAUACCGCAUACGAUCUAUGGAUGAAAGCGGGGGACCGUAAGGCCUCGCGCCAUUGGAGGGGCCGAUGUCAGAUUAGGUAGUGGGGGGGGUAAAGGCUCACCAAGCCAACGAUCUGUAGCUGGUCUGAGAGGACGACCAGCCACACUGGGACUGAGACACGGCCCAGACUCCUACGGGAGGCAGCAGUGGGGAAUUUUGGACAAUGGGCGCAAGCCUGAUCCAGCAAUGCCGCGUGCAGGAAGAAGGCCUUCGGGUUGUAAACUGCUUUUGUACGGAACGAAAAGGCUCUGGUUAAUACCUGGGGCUCAUGACGGUACCGUAAGAAUAAGCACCGGCUAACUACGUGCCAGCAGCCGCGGUAAUAC